rnacentral:rRNA from 3 species
AUGACCCCAGGAUGGGC